UACGUAGGUGGCAAGCGUUGUCCGGAUUUACUGGGCGUAAAGGGCGUGCAGGCGGUCUGUUAAGUUCAGGGUGAAAGCUCCCGGCUCAACUGGGAGAGGUCCUUGGAUACUGGCAGACUUGAGGGAGGUAGAGGAGAGUGGAAUUCCCGGUGUAGUGGUGAUAUGCGUAGAUAUCGGGAGGAACACCAGUGGCGAAGGCGGGUCUCUGGACAGUUCCUGACGCUGAGGCACGAAGGUCAGGGGAGCAAACGGG
rnacentral:rRNA from 1 species